rnacentral:rRNA from 1 species
AUUGAACGCUGGCGGCAGGCUUAACACAUGCAAGUCGAGCGAGCGUCGGACGGGUGAGUAAUGUCUGGGCAACUGCCUGAUGGACGGGGAUAACUACUGGAAACGGUAGCUAAUACCGCAUACCAUCAGAUGUGCUCAUAUGGGAUUAGCUAGUAGGUGGGGUAAUGGCUCACCUAGGCGACGAUCCCUAGCUGGUCUGGGAGGAUGACCAGCAACACUGAAACUGAGACACGGUCGAGAAUCCUAGGGGAGGCAGCAGUGGGGAAUAUAGCACAAUGGGAGCGAGCCUGAUGCAGCCAUGCCGCGUGUGUGAAGAAGGCCUUCGGGUUGUAAAGCAGUUGCAGCAAGGAGGCGUUACUCACAGAAGAAGCAACGGCUAACUCCGUGCCAGCCGCCGCGGUAAUAC